CGAGAUAGAGCUUGUCUAGUUAAGCCGUCCGCUUACAUCGGACAGAAAUUUGUGCAACUCAAAUUGUCUCGA
rnacentral:tRNA from 1 species